UAUUGCACCAGUAUGACUACCUACAAGUUGUCAUCCUUCAACGCCCGUUGCUGUGGCGAGACGGCCCGGGUUCUGUUCGCAUCGGCUGGAAUCCAGUUUGACGAUGUCCGGAUCGACAUGGCAGACUGGCCCAACCAUUAUAACCCAAUGACGGCGCAGGGAGAACUACCCGUACUCACAGUAGACGGCAAAUUGCUUCGUCAUAGUUCCGCCAUCAACCAAUAGCUAGCCACAGAAUUCGGCUUCAUGGGAGACAGCGUGUGGGAAGCUGGGCUCAUCAACGAGACAGUGGAAGUCGGCAGCGACCUCUUCCGGCCGUCGGUCGAAGCAACAUUCACACAGAGCGAAACCAGAAAGGCUGAGCUCACCAAGUCUAUAGCUGAGGUAAUCUUGCCUAAGACACUGCAGAUUCUGGAAGCGCGCCUGAAGGCAAACGGAAGCAACGGCUUCCUUGUGGGAGGCAAGCUGUCCCGGCCGACUCUCACAUUCACACUGCUGAGAAGCACGCUGUGUGGGAAUUAGCACAACGGUCCACCGUACGAUGAUGGGCAGUCAUCAAGGUCGCCGGCAUGAAAGAUUAGAGAGCAUGUGCAUGAAAUCGGAGCGUUUGCCUGGCAUCGGGAUACAUCGAUAAGCGUGCCAAAGACUCGCUUCUAACUAAGGCGUCCAACAGUAUUCCCGUUAUUCUACUGCCGGAGAAAUGGGAAAAAAAACCUGGAUUAGACUUUGUUUGUGUUCUUAGCGCGUUCUGCUUCUGCGAAGAUUUGCGUUAAUGUUCUUCACGUGUAAAAAAAAACUGUAAGAAAAAAACGCCAACAGUACGCGAAUGUUCUAGUCCGAACCGUCCGCGAGUUUCAGUGAUUUAGUGUAGGAUGAAGUACAGAAGUAAGACAAGCAACAGUAAUUAAUUCGGUGCGGUUUAUAAUUAAUUAGGGCAGCCCCCCCCCAUGGAGGGAGCAUACCGUAAAUUCAGCGAGAGACUGCCAUAUUAGCAUAACCUUAAUAACAUAUACUAAUAUGUAUUACUAAUUACUUAUAAUAAUACAUUAACUUGUAAUUUUGCCCUUUUAGAGUUUAUUAAGCGCAUUAUGACCGUGACUAGUCUGUUAUGUCUCUAUGGAGCAAACAGCCGACUGAAGUUGACGGUGAAUUGCCCGAGCUUGGAAUGAUGACUUAGCAUAUUUCAGCAAGUUUUUUAAAGCCUAUGCGAACCCCCAAAAAAUACGUAUGCUAAACCUAAUGACGUGUAGCUAUGUUUGAGUUUCAACUACACGCAUUAGUAAAUAAUUUUAACGUGACGCGUUCAUUAAGAGUCUGGCCAGUUGAGACAGUUUUAGCAGUUUAUUAAUAAUUCUGCAUAAAUUAAUGGUUUAGAGUUUACACGUUUCGGACAUGCAGCAGUUUUACGCUGGGUUUGUAUAUCGGCUUCAUUCAUUCACCCGAAGACGACUCGAUCAGUUACCGAGAGUGAAUAAUGACAUGGCUUUAUCAUCAUAAAAUAAAUGUUCUGUCACAGAA